rnacentral:snRNA from 1 species
AAACGCCGGCCAUUCGGUUGGAA